ACUAAGUCAAGGCCCUCUCAGUAUCUGGUGGAAAGAAAUUCAAAUUUAAUUCGAGAGAUACAAAGUAUUUAUGCAGUUGUGGUUGCAUAGAUCUUAAUUUUAUUUUAUCUUUUCUAAAAAAAAAUUAAUUUUGGGGUUAGUAUUGGAAUAUUUUGUUUAAUUUUUUUUCUGUAGGGUGAACUAAGCAUUUGGUAAGGUGACAAUAACAGCACUAUUUUUUAUUUUUCUCUUUUUGCAGGAGGUUAUCAAAAUGUUCACAUUAGAAUUUGAUUCUACUUGCAAUCUCAUUGUAAUUUCAUGCAUGGUACUUCUUUUCUUCUUCAAAUGAUGUGAUGAGCAUGAGAGAGAUUUUUUCUCUCUCUGAAACCCCUCCGUGCCUUGAGAGUCAGUGGCAUUACCCACCCUUUAUGGGUGCUUGCCUGAGCUAUGUCUCAGCUUCCAUGAGCUAUGUCUCAGAUCUGAGGCUUUUGCCUUUUGCUUCAUCUAUUUUUUUCUCCUCCGGUCUCCUUCCCUUCUCCUUCCAUCUUGCCCCAUUUUUCUGUCUGUAUCUUAGCCCCAAAUUUUCUCUAACUCAUUCCUCACCACCCAUCACCUUCUUGUACCCACCAUCUCUCAUCUCCAGAUCUUGUUGCCUAGAUUUUUUCUUUUCCUUUUCAAAUCGGUACUAUGGCUUGGUUCUUGCAGUGACUCCUCUCAAACGCGAUUUCUCGCGUCUCACUCGGAAGAUAGGGUUAUUUUGAUCGGGCUUUGGUGUAGGGGUCUCUCUUCAAACUGCAAUUUUGGAGUCCCAUGUAUGGAUUCAGCUACGAUGGCCAUGGUGGACGUUGGUGGUGCUAGAUCUGUGGCGGAUGAAGACAAGGAGAAGUUUAGAAUUAGGGUUUUCUUUUGUUUGUUGUUUUCUGUUGGGCCUUCUACUGUUUGUUUGGGCUCCGACUUUUGUGUAUUUAUUUAUCUUUUCGGCCUUUUUAUUAGGUUUUGUAUCGUUUAUUUUAGAAUGCCUACUAAAUCAAGAUUUAUUGA